AAAGGAAUUGACGGGGACCCGCACAAGCAGUGGAGCAUGUGGUUUAAUUCGAAGCAACGCGAAGAACCUUACCAGGUCUUGACAUCCCCCUGACCGGUGCAGAGAUGUGCCUUUCCCUUCGGGGACAGGGGAGACAGGUGGUGCAUGGUUGUCGUCAGCUCGUGUCGUGAGAUGUUGGGUUAAGUCCCGCAACGAGCGCAACCCUUGUCCUUAGUUGCCAGCGAGUAAGGUCGGGCACUCUAGGGAGACUGCCGGUGACAAACCGGAGGAAGGUGGGGAUGACGUCAAAUCAUCAUGCCCCUUAUGACCUGGGCUACACACGUGCUACAAUGGCCGGUACAACGGGCGGCGAGAGGGUGACCUUGAGCGAAUCCCUGAAAGCCGGUCUCAGUUCGGAUUGCAGGCUGCAACUCGCCUGCAUGAAGUCGGAAUUGCUAGUAAUCGCGGAUCAGCAUGCCGCGGUGAAUACGUUCCCGGGUCUUGUACACACCGCCCGU
rnacentral:rRNA from 1 species